rnacentral:rRNA from 1 species
UACGGGAGGCAGCAGUGGGGAAUAUUGCACAAUGGGCGAAAGCCUGAUGCAGCUAUGCCGCGUGUAUGAAGAAGGCCUUAGGGUUGUAAAGUACUUUCAUCGGGGAGGAAAAACAAAACUAAUAAUUUUAUUUCUUGACGUUACCCGAAAAAGAAGCACCGGCUAACUCCGUGCCAGCAGCCGCGGUAAUACGGAGGGUGCUAGCGUUAAUCAGAAUUACUGGGCGUAAAGAGCACGUAGGUGGUUUUUUUAAAGUCAGAUGUGAAAUCCCUGGGCUUAACCUGGAACUGCAUUUUGAAACUGAAAUACUAGAGUAUCGUAGAGGGAGGUAGAAUUCUAGGUGUAGCGGUGAAAUGCGUAGAUAUCUGGAGGAAUACCUGUGGCGAAAGCGGCCUCCUAAACGAAUACUGACACUGAGGUGCGAAAGCGUGGGGAGCAAACAGGGAUUAGAUACC